UACAGAGGUCUCAAGCGUUGUUUCGGAUUCAUUGGGCGUAAAGGGUGCGUAGGUGGCGAGGUAAGUUGGAUGUGAAAUCCCGGGGCUCAACCCCGGAACUGCAUUCAAUACUGCCUUGCUGGAGUACUGGAGAGGAGAUUGGAAUUUACGGUGUAGCAGUGAAAUGCGUAGAUAUCAGGAGGAACACCGGUGGCGAAGGCGGGUCUCUGGGCCGUAACUGACGCUGAGGAGCGAAAGCGUGGGGAGCGAACAGG
rnacentral:rRNA from 1 species